GAUGAACGCUGGCGGCGUGCCUAAUACAUGCAAGUCGAACGCAUAGCGAAAGGUGCUUGCACCUUUCAAGUGAGUGGCGAACGGGUGAGUAACACGUGGACAACCUGCCCCAAGGCUGGGGAUAACAUUUGGAAACAGAUGCUAAUACCGAAUAAAACUUAGUGUCGCAUGACACAAAGUUAAAAGGCGCUUCGGCGUCACCUAGAGAUGGAUCCGCGGUGCAUUAGUUAGUUGGUGGGGUAAAGGCCUACCAAGACAAUGAUGCAUAGCCGAGUUGAGAGACUGAUCGGCCACAUUGGGACUGAGACACGGCCCAAACUCCUACGGGAGGCUGCAGUAGGGAAUCUGCCACAAUGGGCGAAAGCCUGAUGGAGCAACGCCGCGUGUGUGAUGAAGGCUUUCGGGUCGUAAAGCACUGUUGUAUGGGAAGAACAGCUAGAAUAGGAAAUGAUUUUAGUUUGACGGUACCAUACCAGAAAGGGACGGCUAAAUACGUG
rnacentral:rRNA from 1 species